AACGAACGCUGGCGGCAUGCCUAACACAUGCAAGUCGAACGAGACCUUCGGGUCUAGUGGCGCACGGGUGCGUAACGCGUGGGAACCUGCCCUUAGGUUCGGAAUAACUCCCCGAAAGGGGUGCUAAUACCGGAAAAUGUCUUCGGACCAAAGAUUUAUCGCCUUUGGAUGGGCCCGCGUUGGCUUAGCUAGUUGGUAGGGUAAAAGCCUACCAAGGCGACGAUCCAUAGCUGGUCUGAGAGGAUGAUCAGCCACACUGGGCCUGAGACACGGCCCAGACUCCUACGGGAGGCAGCAGUGGGGAAUAUUGGACAAUGGGCGAAAGCCUGAUCCAGCAAUGCCGCGUGAGUGAUGAAGGCCUUAGGGUUGUAAAGCUCUUUUACCCGGGAUGAUAAUGACAGUACCGGGAGAAUAAGCACCGGCUAACUCCGUG
rnacentral:rRNA from 1 species